UCCUAAAGAGAGCACAGCAAAUACAAACGGAGUUACCGUUGGAACAAGGAAUCCCUACAAGGCAUACACAGUAACUAAAGACUUCAGAAGUAAAAGAUUAUAGCAUAAUUAUAAUCAACUAAUAAAAAAUUACAUAUUUUUAUUUCUUUAGACACAAAAUUUGCUAUAAAACCAUAUAAAAUUUUCUUUCUUUUUUCUUAGAAAAAGUAGCAUUUAGACCAGUGAUUCUCAACCUGUGGGCCACAACCCCUUUGGGGGUUUGAACAACCCUUUCACAGGGGAUGCAUAUGAGAUAUUUACAUUAUGAUUCAUAACAGUAGCAAAUUAUAGUUAUGAAGUACCAACAAAAUCAUGUUAGGAUUAGGGAUCACUACAACCUAAAGCAUGAUAUUAAAGGGUGAAACCACUGAUUCAGACAGAGUCCACAAGGAGGCACUGUCACCCUAUAAAAAAAAAAAAAUCCCAGUACCGUUGCCUCCCUGUAGAUGGCAGGGUAACAAAUUCAAUUAAGUAGACAGGACAAGAUCUGAAUUUUUAUAUAAAAAACGAAAUAGGACAGACUCAGUCUGGGAGUGUAUUCUUUGUAGUAUUAUUUUCUUAAAUAUCUACUUCAGUAAGACAUAAAGACACAGAAAUAAAGGUACUGGCUCCCAUGUUCUUGAAGUAUACAUGCAUGGAAACGAAAUCUACAAGAAACACUACUGUGAAAAGAAUUAAUCCAGAAAGAAUUCAUUCUUUAUUAGGCUCUUUUUUAUACCCAUAUAAUAUCAUAAUUUUCCUUUUGAAAAUGUGAAAGUACAAGCAAACAGUAUUCUUGGCUGAGGUCUUUUCCCAGAAUUUACCACGUUUACAGUCUAAUUGUUUCAUAUUUUUAUGAUCUCAGAAAAUGCAGAACUUAAUUUAGGAAUGACAAAAAUGUUUACACAAAGCAUCUCAUAAAGCUAUGUUCCAGAAAUUCUCAUAAGAUGUUUUCAUUCUUAUGUAAAUAUCCCAUAAUCACAUAGUUUGGCAUACACCAGUGAAUAAUGAUACCAUUUUAGUAAAAUUAAAACUGGAUAUUACUUAAUCAAUACUUUGUUAUGCCAAUAUACGACAGAUAUAACUCUAGCCAUGGUGAACUGAAUGUGUCCAUCCUCAAGUCCGUGUGUUGCAAUCCUAACCCUCAGCAUGGUCCUUGGAGUAGGCCUUAAUAGGUGAUUAGGCCACGAGUGUGGAGUUGUCAUAGAAUUAGAUAAUUCUCAUAAAAGACCCUUGAGAACUGCCUUGCCCCUCCCACUAAUGAGGACAUCUAAGAGCUGGCCCUCUUCCAGGCACCAAAGUUCUUGUGCCUGAAUCUUAAGAGUUCUCAACCCCCAGAUCAGUGAGAUGUCGAUGCCUGCGCCAUCUUUGGUGGCUUGUGCUAACAGCCAGGCAGAAUGAGACACUAGGAAGUUAAACAUCUUGUUUCCAGAGUUGGUUUAGAUGCCAGCUGUGCUUUGGCGCCAGCUGUCAAGCCUAAUGGCCUGCCUUCAGUCAGCAGGGCACAAGUGACCUCUACAUCUGGGUCCCCCAGUACACAAAAUAAAAAGUAAAUAUAAUAAAGCAUAUUUCUAAAUUUUAUGAGUUAAUUCACAAAAAUACUGAGUUCUUUUGAAGCCUGUCUCAGAACUUGCUGAGAUAAUUUUUAAAACUAAAGACGUUGGUUAAUCAAAAUCGCUACAUGUCUGAUGAAAUAAUUUAUAUCUAUAAAAGUGUCCCAUGUGAUUGUCAUAUACAGUCAGAUUUGGGAAGCAGGUACAUUUUAAAGACAGACCUUUGUUGUUGUUAAAACAGAGAAGGCCUGAAAUAGUUUAGCCAUUUAGAAAUAAAUCAUGAAUUGUGUAUCUCAGGAAGAAUUGUCUAUUAACUGCCUGCCAUUUCACAAACCACUGUGACUGAACAAAUCCAGGAAGCCCAAUUUCAAAAGCUUUAUUCCCAGUCACCUCCACAAUGGCCUUUCUGAGUCACUGGUGUGGCCACGACUUCAGCUAAUCUCUCAGGGCUAAGAGCUGCAGGGUGCUAUUUCCAGAGUGAGGCUCUAAGAUGAAGAUUCCUCUCUGCCAACUGCUUCUCUUUACACCAGCACUUACAACCACUGGGCAGGCUGCAGGCUGUGGGAUUCUAACAUUUCCACUCUGCCUCAACUUCCCCUAGAAGUGACUGGGUAUACAAAUUAUUCUUAAAAAGCAAGUUUCAAAUAUGAUGAAAGUAUGCUCAUUAUAAUUUUCAAGAUAUUGCACUUAUGCAUGCCUCAAAAACUAUCACUGUUUAUAAAUGUCAAUAACAUGGAUAAAGCACCAAAAGAAAUCUCUGAAAUUUUUCUUAGAAGUUUAAGAACUGUGCACACAAAAACUCCGAGCCCUUGUACCUUGGUUACCAUUAGCAUCAGGGCUGAAACCAUCCAGGCUUGGGGGGCAAUCUGAAAAUAUGUGAUCUUGAACUAAGGAUGUGUGAAGACACCUAAUUAUUCUUUGACACCCUGACUGGCAACUCCAGUGGGACUUUUAGGGUACCCCUUCUGUAUCAAGCAAGUCAUGAUGGAAACAAGAUUGGCCCCACACCCCUCCCACCCCACACUCUGAGUCCUUCCUGCACAGAGAUGUCUGCUCCGAUGCGGCUCCUCUGUCAGUUUUAAGGCAUCCUUAACAUACUCGGGGGUGUGGUUCUUUCUACGUGAAAGAAUCUCCAUUUUUUUCAAUCCCAUAACUUAUAAAAAUGACUCAUUUAAUAGGCAUACAAUGACUACUUGGCUCCAAUAAAAAAGAAGCUUGAAGUAUCUUGUUUUUUUCUUUCGAGGGAGAUGUUUUAUGAGUCAAAGGCUGAGAUGAAUGGUACACUCUGUAACUCAGCAACCCUCUGGAACCGGACAGUUACAACCUCUUCUACAAAGAGCUGAGGGGGAAACCUAACACCUGCGUUUCAUGAACACGGGAUGUACUGUUUGGUGUCCCAAACAAUCGUCCGGGUGGCCUGAGGUGACGUGUGACGCCAGGCAGUGUGGACACCUCCUGGGAGCUGACUCCAAACAAGUCCAGGCUCACCUGAGAUCCCACAUGUGCAAUCUGCAGGGUUUAGCCUUAUGCAUGUAUAUGAGGAGUUUGGGCCACUUCAUCCCCAUCACCCUCUCUUCCUCCCUCUGAACAACAUCCCAACAAGACCUCCUCCUACUUCCUUUUCUUCAGUGACUGAGUUAAAUUCAGGUUCUCUGCAUAAGCAUGGGGUGGCAAAAACAUCUGGGAAGAAAAUGGCGCCUCUACUGAAGCAAUCAAAGAUCACAGUAAGUUUUAAUAAGACUUGAUUUUAAUAACCUGUCUAUCUGUCUGUCUCUCUGUGUGUGUCUAUCUCAUGUGUGUGUGUGUGUGUCUGUCUGUCUGUCUGGAUGUCAGAGGUUAACCUCAGGAAUCUUCCUCUACCACAUUCUACCUUAUAUUUUGAGUGAAUCAUCUGGCUAGAUAGGCUUAUUAGCAAAUCUCUGGGACCUACCUGUCUUCUUCUCCCCAGACACCCCCUUCCCUCCAGCGAUGGGGUUGCAGGCACAUGCUGCCACAUCUGGUGUUUUCAUGGGUACUAGGGAUCUGAACUCUGGUCCUCCUGCUUGCAUAGUGGGCAUUUUACUCAUGGGGCCAUCUAUCCCCAGCCCUGGGCCAUCUUUAAAUACCAUCACUUUAUUAAAAUUACCUCAUCUAUCCAAAAUAUUACUAAGUAUGCAUACCUAGAUAAAGAAGAAACGGGAACUCAGACUGUUGUGGUUUCAGGCCAUCCUUUCUUUUUGAGACACUGAUACACAGAGAAGGCACUGGGGACAUAUGCUACUUAAAGAGAGAAAUGAAGCAGAAAAAAAAUGUGUACUCUACCCUCAAGAAAUGAAUAAAUGAAGCAACAUAUAGAUUUUUGCUUGGUCAAUCAGAAAUGCCGAAGAUGGUAAUCUGAACUCAGGGAUGGCAUGUCAUUUUUUACUGUUUGCCCCAAAGUCCAAAUAUAAACCAUGUUCUUGUAGAACACGACAAAAGGUUGUACAAGAAGCCAAUGAAGCUCUUAUAAACAUUGCAGGGUACAAACAUGACCUUAUAUAAAAUGGUAUGAUGUAGUUCCUUAAUUUUUCAAAAGAUAAAUUAAAUAAAAAAGUCCAGAAGAGGGUGGACCCUCAUCUUAAGAGCAGUAGGACUUGAUGCUCUCAGACAUCCAUCUGCAAACUAGGAAAUGAGGAGCAUGCAAACCUUAGGGUUGAAGUAAGCUAGCAAAGUUGGUCCUUCACAUUUGGAAUGGAAAAGUCACUAGACAGCAGAAAGCACUAUCUGUGAUGACAAAGCAGAACACUGAAGAGUGUGAGGCGAAGUCUGAACACUCACACCCAAACUAAGUGGUAUGCUAGAAACACCCUCUGUGGAGGCUAGAGAUGUCAGAAUUCUUUCAAAGAAUCAAACAUUUCCUUGCCUUAAGCCAAGUGAAACACUCCAUUUAAAAUAUGAACAACACAGAGCUUAAUUACAUUCAAGGAUUCUUAUUAUCGGCUGCUGGGAGCAGCAGAGAGGACCCUUCUAAGAGCCUGAUGCUACACAGAGAAUGCAGGGGCCUAGCCUCUCCCUACCUGUCCCAUCCCAGAGCUAAGCAAGGGUCUAGCCUCCCCUUCCUUCACCAUCCCAGGGCUAGGCAGGGGCCUAGCCUCCCCUCCCUGUCCCAUUCCAGGGCUAGGCAGGGGCCUGGCCUCUCCCUCCCUGUCCCACCCCAGGGCUAGGUUUGAGGUGCAUGGCUUUCUCUUCCCUUGGUGCCUUAACACAGCACAUCCACAGAUUCAAGCCAGCAAGCACAUGUAACCACUCGGCUUCUACCGUGAUCACCGAGUGAUCUUAGCUUGGAGAGCGGGGGACUCAGGUCCUUGCCCAGUUCGUGACCCACUUCUAUUAUUAUGAUUUCUCUUACUGGAUCCAGGUUCUUAAACAGCAGGAUGUCUUUGCAAGCCUCUUGCAAUCUGUUUCUCUGAUCAUCGGUUUUGGGAUGUAUUAUCUGAAAAGACAGCAAAAUCGAGAAAGCAAACACAGCAGUCAAUACCAGGUAAAAUCCAACAAAAAGGAGUGCUGGAGAGAAGAAUGGUUAGUGCUCCAGUCCACUCUCCCAGUUGGUAGGACAUUUGCUUUGGGUGGCAAACAAGGAUUAGCCCACGAGCACAGGACAAUGACACCACCACUUCUGGGUGGAAAGACCAUCUUCCCCCCAGAUCAGCAGGCACAUUAUGAAAAGAUGCAUCCUAGUCUAUAAGGCAUGUAUGCGGGACAGAGUGUUACAUAGUUACACUGGAAAGUUAGACACUGCCUUCAUUUCGUUGUUACUGAUCUUAAAACUCUGCCAGAGACAGCUCUUUCCAUUAAAACCUGGUAAUGUUGGCAGAAGUAAACAAAUUCUUAAAUGUAUACUUCAUUCAAGAUUAAAGAAAAUUUUAGGAAAAUUGCAGCAGGUAACUUUCCUGAUAGCAGAUAAGGAGUUCAGAGAAGGGACCCAGCAACCACGGAUUGCCCUCAAGGGAAAUGCAUUCAAGGGAAAUGACUCCAAGAAAUACUGACACCAUCAUUUUAGGGUAAAGUCAGGAGAGGCCAGUGUUCUAAACUCUCACUGAAUCCUUCAUCCGGGACAGUGAAGCAGCCAGAGGGUCUUCUGUGAGACUCAACGGACCAACAAGUUGGGUUCUUUUUUCACAGCAUAGGAAUGCUUGAGACUGAAGUCCAAAGGCUUGCCCAUGUUAGGCAAAUUCUCCACCACUGAGCUAUAUCCCUAACUUCAAAAGGCUUUUUAUUUACUGUGAACAUUGUAGUUUGAGACUAUAAAAUGAGGUAAAAGACACUCCUAGAAGUAGGGAUGGAGUGGAUUCCUGGAGACCCAACACACUACUUCUCCUAUUCCAAUGUUGACUCAAAGAAUAACUGUAGGAUCUCAUGAGCGAAUGCCUCACCGUUCCCAUCAGAGCAGCCAGAAUCAGACAGCACUGAGCCUGUGCCCACACAGACACCAACACUCACAGGCACAUUCAACUUAGAAGAAGACAUAGCUUAAAACAACAACAACAACAAAAACAAAAACGCAAUGGACCCUAAGCCUAAAAAAGCUGGCAUUACAGUACAAGGAAAGGAUUCUGAUGGGCACCACUCCUGUGCCUGGGACUUACAGGUGACAAGAAAGACUACUAAUUAGUGAAUAAAUCCCUACAGGUGUUUGACCGACCAACCAAGUGCUGUGGCUUGGGAUUCUGAGUGGCCCCACACUGAGCCCUAUGUUGGUGCUGCUGCUCUGACGACUGUGGGGGCCUUGGCAGGUGAGGGCCAGCUCAGAGACGCACAAGGCUAUGGGCAGGCCCUUCUAUAGCUGCCUGUCUUUCCAAAACAGCAUCCUCUUCCUGGAUGCUGCCUUGUGACAUUCUUGCCACCAAGGACUAAGUCACUGUCACAGCCACCCCUCCCCCACCUGAUGGACUAAACCUGCCCAGAAACUGGAUCCCAAACAAGCCUUACUCCCUUCCAUUAUGUCUGCCAGGCCCCUUUUUCUUGUGCUACUGUUUGUCACUACACAGGGAAGAGGUCCAUGAAACCUUUGUUUACUAUCUGACCCACACUGAUCUGAACCUAGACCCUAAGGUGACAGGUGAGCACAAUGCUUCCGGCCUGUGCUACACAGAGACCUUCAAAAUGUACAUCACAGUGUUUGUUUUUACCAGCCCACAGGCUCUUUUGUUUUUUUUACUAACAUUUCUCAUUUCAGGAUACAAAUCCUGCUAAACAAGCAUUUAUGUAGCAUUUGAUAUAUGCUAGGCAAUAUUUUAAGGGCCCCACAUAAAUUCAUUUCAACCUGGUAACAGAGGUGAGAAAAUAAACUCACCCAGUUGAUUUUAUCUCACAGUCUGUAAACUGCAGAAAGAGCUCAGAUUCAUGCUGGACAGGCCAGUUAUCAGUGAACACUCAGACCUUACUACAGUAAGCCACACCCACAAGCACAUCUGUACUGAAGAGUCUCCAAGCUGAGUGGCUCUACCUUUGUAAUCAAUCUCUGUGUGUCUCUGUCUCUGUUUGUCUCUCUGCCCUUGUCUCUGUGUCUAUCUCUGUCUCUGUCUUGCUCUCUCAUACACACACACACACACACACACACACACACACACACACACACACACUUUCUAACACAUGGAAAUUAGAAGAAAUUCCAGUUCAACAGACAUGCUUUCAUUUGCACAUUGCCUGUGCUGAUCUGAGCCACAGCAGCAGGGCUGAGUAGUUUGAAGACAGUUUCUGACUCCCAAAUAUUAAAUAUUCAUGUUGAGGAGUAGUGAAUUUUCAGUCAAAAAAAAAAAAAUUCCUCACUAAAGCCAUUUGCCAACUCCUGCUCUGAACCUCUUCGCCUUUCAAGGAAAAUCACCAGAAAGGCAGCGAAUAUGGCUUCCUUCGCCGUGCUCUCCAUAUUCCGUUACAGAGGGAACCCUGCGCACGGGCCACUUCACUCUCCAGUAAGACAUAAAGGAGACCUCUCAAACAUCCAAUAAAAGCACUCUACUCUCCAGCUGCAAACCUCAGUGGACCCCACACAUGGGCUGAGGUGGACUUCCAUCCUUCUGUUUCUGACCUCGUGUGAGUCCUGAGCUGGCCACCGCUGCCUCCACCACACAACUUCAUACCCUGUUUCUGGUGGCUGCCCAGGCCCAGAUGCAAGAGUGAGCCCAGACACGACUCUCUUCCUGCCUCAUGUCUUACCUCAAGGAGACUCCAGUCACUUCAGACUUUCAAUCUAUACAAUGUCUGGCUGUGCUAUGAGCACCUCCUAUUUGUAGUUACUCAUUAAUUUGCUUGUUAGCAUCUGCCACUCCCCUCUAAUAAAGAGGUCAGGGCUUCACUGAGCACACCUAACACCUGGCCGGCUAUGCAGAGGGCGCAUCAGAGAGAUUUUUGGAGGCUAGAAUGAGAAAAUUUACUACUCUUUCCUCCAAUGUCACAUGCUAGAUGUAUACUACCCUUAACUUCUCUUUUAUUAUUGGAAUUCCAACUAAAACCCAAAUUAGUUUUUUUUCCAAAACGAGUCUUAAGUAUUUAGACUUUCUUUAAAUUCAUAUGAAGAUAAAUACCCAUUUUUAUUAGUUUACAGAUUUCUUGAUUAUAAAAAUUCCAGAUAAUAAUAUGAAAUGUUACUCUACCAAAGUAUGGUUUCCUCACAGAUAUCUCAUUGCCCAUCUAUCUAAAGCUAACAUCUGUAAUAGUCAUUGCUAGGAACUAUGGUUCAGUUUACCUUAUAGUUUUAAGGCCAAAGGCAAGAUGUAAUCUUGAGUAUGUUAGCUAGAAGAAGUAAUUUUCAACCUAAUCAAAACCUUAAAGUACUUUAUCAGAAUCACUAGUAUGUAAUUAAUGCAUUGCACAGACACUUGAAGUAUUAGGAAGGGCAAGGCUUAAAGCGAGUCCCCACCCUAUGCAGACUCCAGUGUCUUAGGGUUUCCAUGGCUGCAGGAAGACACCGACCAGAAGCAACUUGGGAGGAAAAGAUUGGGUUCAUCGUAUAUCUUGCAGUCCAUCGUCCAGAGAAUUGAGGGAAGAAACUCAAAAAGGGCAGGAACCUGGAUCCAGGGGCUGAUGCAGAGGCCAUGGCGGAGUGCUGCUUACCAGCCUGCUGCCAUGGCUUGCUUGGGCUGCUUUCUUAUAGAAUCCAGGACCACCAGCCCAGAGAUGGCACCACCUCUACAAUGGUCUGUACCAUCUCACAUCAAACAUCAAUCAAGAAUAUGUACCACAGGCUUGCCCACAGACCAAUAUAGUAAGGGCAUUGUCUCACUUCCAAAACUGACUCUGGCUUGUGUCAAAUUGCCAUGGAACUAGCCACCAGGCCCAUCUUUCUUAUAAAAUGCCUGUCCUUACUUAUACAAGUGGUCUCUGAGUCUUGAUUUUCUGGCCUUGCCCCUGACGGUCAAUAUGGGCUUCUCAGAAGCUCCCAGGAAAACAGGAUUUUGAACAGAAAGACAACAAUAAGGUGAGAGUGUGGGUGAAUGUCCUUAAUACCACUCAGAGUCUACACCUUUGCUGCUGAAGAACCCUAGUGCAGUGGUUCUCAACCUUCCUAAUGCUGCGCCCCUUUAACACAGCUUCUCAUGUUGUGGUGACCUCAACCGUAAAGUUAUUUUCAUUGCUACUUCAUAACUGUAAUUUUGUUACAUAUGAAUCAUAAUGUAAAUAUCUAAUAUGCAAUUCCCAAAGGAGACAUGACCUAUAGGUUGGGAACUGCUGCCCUAAAGUCAGGUGGCCCUGUCUAUGGUGUGGACUCUAAACUCUUUCUGGAAUUGGUAAUGCGUCCAAACAUGUAUCCUACAAGCCCUCACUGACAGUUUCCAUGUUUAAUUCCAUUUGAUUGGCUGCUAAGUGAAUAUUCACUACAAUGGAAUGAACUAGCUAAACCAUUUUACUUAACUCAGACUCCUCUCAAGGUCUCAGUUUUUGAGGCAGUGAGAUACCAAAUGUUGCUUUCAAACUAUGUGCCUUAGCUUUAGACUUUUAAAACUAGUUUAAAAUACCUCAAAUUAUCCUGAUUACACAAUUUUACCAUAUAUGUAGUUAACCACAAACAUAAGGAAUGUGUGUAGCCCUCAGCUGUCACCCAGUACUGUCUCCUGUAGAGACGUGGAUGAGGCGUGUGAUAGGCAAGGUGGUUUUUAGAUCACACAGUGUAGUGACAGCAUGCUUCAAAUUAGCAAGAAGAGUCAGAUUGCUGCCCAGAGUGUGCGUCCACUUCAGCAGCCUAAUCGUCUUAAAGUGGGGGCCCACUGUCUUCCUUUCUGCAUUCUUCAGAGCUAUAAAUACAGGCUUUUAAAAAUACCUUUCAAGGCAGAAGGUACAAAGAAGACUUUCCCAAAGUAUGCAUAAAGAAAAGGAGGGGGCUGGAGAGAUGGCUCAGUGGUUACGAUCACUGACUGUUCUUCCAGAGGUCCUGAGUUCAAUUCCCAUCAACCACAUGGUGGCUCACAACCAUCUGUAAAGAGAUCAGAUGCCCUCUUCUGGUGUGUCUGAAUAUAGCUACAGUGUACUACUAUACAUAAAAUAAAUAAUUUUUAAAAAAAGAAAAAGAAGAGGAGGAAGGAGAGAGGUAAGGAGGGGGAAAAUGAGGGAGAAAGGAGGGAGGGAGGGAGGGAAGGAGGGAGGAGGGGGAGAUAGGUUGGUUGUUACUUGUCUUCAUGUUUGAGCACAAUAAUCUUUUACUGAGUUUCCUUUUUACUAGAUCACUAAUGGGAGAAGUGAGUUAAGGCUACAACUUAAGAGCUGCAUCCAACUACGCAAGGCAAAUCCUUACAUAGUCAUCAGGGCCUCCAAGAUCCAGUCUGCACUAAGUGUGGACGCCUGCGGUGAAAGGACUGAAGCCGCACCUUCAGGGAGCACUUAUGUUCCUGUUUCAUUCCAUCCAAAAGCGACUCUGGGGUUUUAAAAAGAAGUCUACAGAAUCUGAAGUAGAAGCAGACUAUUAAAAUACGAUGAGGAAAAGAGGUAAGUCCUUUGAUUUUUCUCUGCUGAAAGCCUGUGUUUGUUAAUACUUCUAUCAUUAAUUACUUCCUUAUGUAACGUGAGAGCAUCCGUGUUAACACAUACCCUG